CCUAAUACAUGCAUGUCGAACGAAGCACUUGUGCUUAGUGGCAAAUGGGUGAGUAACACGUACUUAAUCUACCCCCAAGUUUGGGAUAACAGUUGGAAACAAUUGCUAAUACCAAAUACAUAUAAGUUUUGCAUAAUUCUUAUAUAAAAGGAGCGUUUGUUUCGCUAGGGGAUGAGAGUGCGCUACAUUAGUUAGUUGGUAGGGUAAGAGCCUACCAAGACUAUGAUGUAUAGCGGGGCUGAGAAGCUGAACCGCCACACUGGGACUGAGAUACGGCCCAGACUCCUACGGGAGGCAGCAGUAGGGAAUAUUCCACAAUGAGCGAAAGCUUGAUGGAGCAACACAGCGUGCAGGAAGACGACCUUAGGGUUGUAAACUGCUGUUAUGAGGGAAGAAAAAUAAAAUUAGGAAAUGAAUUUUACAUGACGGUACCUCAUCAGAAAGCACCGGCAAACUAUGUGCCAGCAGCCGCGGUAAUACAUAGGGUGCAAGCGUUAUCCGGAAUUAUUGGGCGUAAAGUGUCC
rnacentral:rRNA from 1 species